UAGAAUUCUAAUAUUUAGUUUUUCAUCAGUUAAUUUGUGGAAUGAUGGAAGUAUAAAUAUCUGAAAUUAAUUGAUUGCUAUUCCUUUAAAACCUAGCCAGAAGAAAGGGCCUCAACAAGCAAAACUCAAACAUGUGAAAUUGAAAAAAUGUAAACAUUUUUAUUAUUAAAUGUUUGAAAAACAGGAAAAUGAACUUGCUUUUAGGUUAUAAUUAUGGGCUGGUUAUAUCAAUAUGUGUGUGAUUCACUUGAAUAAGUGCUAGGAAAAAUUGAUCGAGUUGAAGUCAGUAGAUGUAUCGUUAACUAUCAGGUUGCAAUACGCAAUUUGACUUCUAUGUUCUUGGCAUGAAGUAGGCCAUAUUCAAUUUAAUAAAAUGUGCGGCAGAAUG
rnacentral:misc_RNA from 1 species